rnacentral:misc_RNA from 1 species
AGCAGCCGCGGUAAUUCCAGCUCCAAUAGCGUAUAUUAAAGUUGUUGCAGUUAAAAAGCUCGUAGUUGAAUCUUGGAUUCUUCCAAUUGGUCCAUCUUUUAGAUGAGUACUGGUUGUGUGGGGUCUAUCCGCCUGGUGAUACGUAAUGUCCUUUAUUGGAUGUUGCGGGUAGUCAGGACCUUUACCUUGAAAAAAUUAGAGUGUUUAAAGCAGGCUUAUGCCGGAAUACAUUAGCAUGGAAUAAUAGAAUAGGACGAAGUUGUUUUAUUUUGUUGGUUUCUAGGACAACCGUAAUGAUUAAUAGGGAUAGUUGGGGGCAUUAGUAUUCAAUUGUCAGAGGUGAAAUUCUUGGAUUUAUUGAAGACUAACUACUGCGAAAGCAUUUGCCAAGGAUGUUUUCAUUAAUCAAGAACGAAAGUUAGGGGAUCGAAGACGAUCAGAUACCGUCGUAGUCUUAACCAUAAACUAUGCCGACUAGGGAUCGGGCGAUGUUGUUUCCAUGACUCGCUCGGCACCUUAU